AAGGAACUGAUAUUUCUCCAGGACAGAUGGAAAGACAAGGAUAGGGUGUGAAACCCUUCUGCAAAUUUAUCUGGGUCCUCAGAAUAUCUCCUACAUUUUUCUUUGCACUGUUGGAUAUCAGCUACAGAAAAAGGCACUUAUACCCAAACCGGCCCCUCCAGCCCCUCCAUCUCUCCCAGCGGGAACAAGGCUUGGGAAGCCUCCAAGGAAAGUGUUUCACUUCGAGUAUAUAGGGGGGUCUCAGGAGUGUGGGGGGCUCAUCAGAGGUUGGGGUGCACAGGGAGGAUUAUAGUAAGGAGAGAGGUGUCCCCGGGAGCCAGGCGUCGCUCCCUGUAGCAGGGGAUCAAGGAUGUCCACAUCCUCAUUAUUUGGUUUCCUCCUUUGGGGGCUGGAGGUCGACCUACAAAGGGAAGGGUCUUGACACAAGGCCAUAAAAGCUUUGGCAUACGAUACUUAUCACCAUAUGCCUUUUCUCUUACAAAACAAAUCUAAGUGUAAAAUGGGAUUAUAACUUCAGCUCCCAUUCUUGGGCCACUUUACUUGACUCCCCAGUUGGUAUUGGGCCAGGCUACAUUCCAGUAGGAGACAAUGUGUUUCUUUUUCAGAUUACCAGGAUCGAAAUGAUCCUGAUGUUUAAGGAUACAGCCAAGUGGAGAAUCUGUUGGGAUACAUGUACUUCUCCCCAUUUUGAUCUGAAGAAAGAAUAAAAGAGAAGAGAGAGAAGAAACACAACCCUUAGGAGUCCAUGCCACCAAACUCUUCCUGUACCACAAAUACAAUGGCCUGAGUGUCCCCCUGGACUACAUGGUCACAGCUGCCUUCCCAUUUAAAGGGAAGACAUUUUUGCAGCUGCAGCAGCAGGUCCUGCACCCAAGGUAUGGCAUACCAUCUUACCUCUCUGUGGAACUGCAAGGCAUCAUCAUUCAAUUACUCACCCUCAAGCCUAGCGAGAAGACUGCCCUGGAGAACAUCAUGGGGAGCCUGUGCCUCAGCCAAGUCUGAGAAACGACAGUACUCAAAAACUUUGAAGACAUAUCUCUGGACCAAGCCAAACCCGGCCAAUGUGCUGAUCUAAUCAGGGAUGUAACCUCACCAUCUGUGAAAGGGACAAACAACUGCCUGGCCCACUCUCCCACCUGUUUC